rnacentral:rRNA from 1 species
UUCCAGACUCCUACGGGAGGCAGCAGUGGGGAAUAUUGCACAAUGGGGGAAACCCUGAUGCAGCGACGCCGCGUGAGCGAUGAAGUAUUUCGGUAUGUAAAGCUCUAUCAGCAGGGAAGAAAAUGACGGUACCUGACUAAGAAGCCCCGGCUAACUACGUGCCAGCAGCCGCGGUAAUACGUAGGUGGCAAGCGUUGUCCGGAUUUACUGGGUGUAAAGGGCGUGUAGCCGGGCUGACAAGUCAGAUGUGAAAUCCGGGGGCUCAACCCCCGAACUGCAUUUGAAACUGUUGGUCUUGAGUAUUGGAGAGGCAGGCGGAAUUCCUAGUGUAGCGGUGAAAUGCGUAGAUAUUAGGAGGAACACCAGUGGCGAAGGCGGCCUGCUGGACUGCAGCUGACGUUGAGGCUCGAAGGCGUGGGGAGCAAACAGGAUUAGAUACCCGUGUAC